AGAGCGAACGCUGGCGGCAGGCCUAACACAUGCAAGUCGAGCGCCCGUAGCAAUACGGGAGCGGCAGACGGGAUAGUAACACGUGGGAACGCGCCCUUCGGUUCGGAAUAACUCAGGGAAACUUGAGCUAAUACCGGAUACGCCCUUACGGGGAAAGAUUUAUUGCCGAAGGAACGGCCCGCGUCCGAUUAGCUAGUUGGUGAGGUAAUGGCUCACCAAGGCGACGAUCGGUAGCUGGUCUGAGAGGAUGACCAGCAUCACUGGGACUGAGACACGGCCCAGACUCCUACGGGAGGCAGCAGUGGGGAAUAUUGGACAAUGGGCGCAAGCCUGAUCCAGCCAUGCCGCGUGGAUGAUGAAGGCCUUAGGGUUGUAAAGUCCUUUUAACGGGGAAGAUAAUGACGGUACCCGUAGAAUAAGCCCGGACUAACUUCGUGCCAGCAGCCGC
rnacentral:rRNA from 1 species